AUGGUGUCUGCCGGAGUUUUGGUCGAGGGCCAAGAGAUCCGUCUCGGCGCUCUCACCUUCAUCGCCGACGACUCCGCAUGGCUCCAAGAGGCUCCACUCGACGUGGAUGCGCUCCCCGUCCGCGGUGCGACGCAUUUUCGCGCAUGUGUCCGCGGCGUUCUGCUGCGGCAGCCAUCGACCCAGUACCGGUCGGCUCCUCCGCCUUCCACCCUCCCGGUCUCCCGCCAGCGCAAGCGCUCGGGCCGGUCGAGGCUUCAGCGAUGGGUGAGUCACGCGAUGGCUCGCCAGUCGACCACUACACAAGUUGCGGCAAUCGAGCCCAACGAAUCUCUCUACCGCUUGUUCGAUCAGUCGACUGGCUCCGGAGAGACUGCAUCCGAGUGCGGAAGCAGUGAUCCAGCGGCGGAAAUCUUGAUGGUCGACGGGCCCCACAGCCCUCCUGGCUUCGCCCGCGGCGGUGGAGCAGGCGAUGGCAGCGACCCUGCUCGAGGCUACGAAGAGUACCAACCCGAGCCACUCGACUCUCUGCAAAGAGAAGAGCUCCGCCGCAGGAACGAGGAUCCCCUGCGUGUUCCCAUCGCAGGAGAAACCCCCGAGGCUCGUGUCUUGGAGGAGGCGCGUCUGGCCAAUUUGGCCGAGCGCACUCGACUGGAGAACCUUCAGCGAGCACUCGACGAACGCGCGCGGCAACGAGUUCCCGACACCAGUCGACGUCAACUCUUCCCGCCGACUCAGGUAUAUCGAACCCCAAUUCAGAAUUUAGCAGCUGCGACCCGUAUAGCAGAGUCCAUUCAGCCUUCGCAGUCAGAGGCUGGCAGAGGUUUGCUGCAGAUCAGGGAUCUGCUCCGGGCAGCAGGAGAUCAGAAUUCGGCCGUGUCUCAGUCGCGCAACAGAAUUCACAGUCGAUCUGUCACUGUGAAUACGGUUCAGUCGGCUCACAGCCCCAGAUCGCCUCCGCGGCGCGAAGGGCGUGAGAAUCGGCGAGAUCAAUAUGGCGACAGACUCGACCGAGAUGGUAGACGUCGAGUGCCCUAUUCCCCUCCGAGGGGUGGGUCUUACGCUCCCCGGCAGCCGGAUGAUAGGCGUCAGUACAGUACAGGGCGUAGGGUUCCAGUUGACCAUAGAGAGCUAGGCUUCGACGCACGAUCCGUUAUCGUGCAAGGGCUGGUCGACCGGAACAGAGCCCAUCGAGGCGCACUCGACAGGGAUGCGCCCACGAGCAGUCGAGUACAUGUUUCUGGUCCUGAAUGUUUUAGCAGAGCUAUCAGAGCCGCAGUUAUCCCCCCCAAUUUCAGGCUGGCAACAGGAGUCAGCAAGUUCACUGGUGAGUCCAAGCCUGAAACUUGGCUUGAAGACUACCGAGUGGCAGUUCAGAUCGGUGGUGGGAACGACGAGGUGGCCAUGAAGCAUUUGCCUCUCAUGUUGGAAGGUUCUGCCAGGGCAUGGUUGACUCAAUUACCUCCUAGCAGCAUUUACACUUGGGAAGAUCUGUCCCGAGUGUUUGUCAGAACGUUUGAAGGGACUUGCAAGCGACCAGCGGGAUUGACAGAGUUGCAAGUCUGCGUGCAGAAAACCAAUGAGACUCUCAGAGAGUAUAUUCAGAGGUGGAUCACUUUGCACCACACUGUGGAAAAUGUCUCUGACCAUCAGGCAGUAUGCGCCUUUAAAGAUGGUGUCAAGAACAGAGAACUGAGUUUGAAAUUUGGUCGAACCGGUGACAUGACCUUGGGUCGGAUGAUGGAGAUUGCUACCAAGUACGCCAACGGCGAAGAAGAAGACCGACUCCGAAGCGGCAAACAUAAGCCGAGUCAGUCGGAAAAAGGAAACACCAGUCGGAAACAGAAGCGGAAGGCUGAACCAGCAGCUCCUGGGGAGGCUCUGGCCGUGACUCAAGGAAAGUCUAAGGGGAAACCAAAAGGAUCCUGGAACCCCAAGAAGGUGAAGGAUAAAGAAGGGAACGACGUGAUGGAUAUGCCGUGCCACAUCCACACGAAGAAAGAUGAAGAGGGGAAUAUCAUUUACCCAAAGCACACCACUCGCCAAUGUCGACUCCUGAUCCAGCAGUUUCAGGGAAAACAGUCUAAGGACAAGGAGAAGGAGCCAGACAAGGCCGAAGACAAAGAGGACAGUGAGGGAGGAUACCCGCAUAUCAACUCCACUUUGAUGAUCUUCGCAGAUGUGGAAAGCAGAAGUCGACUGAAAGUGAUUAACCGAGAGGUUAACAUGGUUGCCCCAGCAAAGGCAAAUUAUCUGAAGUGGUCUCAAACGCCCAUCACAUUCGACCAAUCUGAUCACCCAACUCAUAUUGCCACCCCUGGGAGGCAAGCUUUGGUGGUCGAUCCAGUUGUCGAAGGCACUCGACUGACAAAGGUGCUGAUGGACGGUGGAAGUGGGCUGAAUCUGUUAUAUGCAGACACGUUGAAAGGUAUGGGCAUUCCGAUGUCCAGACUGAGCACUAGUAACAUGAGCUUCCAUGGAGUUAUACCAGGGAAGAAGGCCGAGUCACUCGGCCAGAUAGCUUUGGACGUAGUGUUUGGCGAUUCAAAGCAUUUUCGCAAAGAAAAGUUGACGUUUGAGGUCGUGGAUUUUCAAAGUGCAUAUCAUGCCAUUUUGGGGAGGCCAGCCUAUGCACGGUUCAUGGCUCGACCAUGUUACGUGUACCUCAAAUUGAAGAUGCCCGGUCCCAAAGGUGUGAUCACUGUCACCGGUGAUAGGAAAAAGGCAGAAGAGUGCUUUCAGAAGGGCUCCAAAAUUGCCGAUUCCCAAGUGACAGCGGUCGAGUUCGAAGAAUACAAGCAAAGCGCAGAUCCGAGUGACUUGCUGCGAUCCAAGAAGCCCGCCACAGAAUCUGCAUUCCAGUCGUCCGGUGAGACAAAGCCUGUUCACAUCCACCCGACCGACCCUGAAGCAGCUCCGACCCGCAUCUCCACAACACUCGACCCAAAAUAG
rnacentral:rRNA from 1 species